AUGAAAUAUUGAGCGCUGUGCUGGCCUUUCGGGGCAUGUGCACGCGUUUCUCUAUCUAUCUUUUGUGCACCAGUGUGGGCUUUGAGGUUGGAAAGCAGGCUUCGCGGCUUGUGGACUGGCUUUGAAGACCAUUUUUAUAUCCUUUAAACAAGUUAAAUGAAUGUCUCUUUUAUUGACGCGAGUCAGUAAAAAAACCUAUA
rnacentral:misc_RNA from 1 species